GCAGAAAAGUGCAAAUUGUGUCAAAAAACAACAUCAAAAAGUCAUACUGGUUUGGAACAACAUUUAGGGUUAGCGAAUCAUGACAGACAGAUUGUCUCUUUAAUGGUUUUUACUUCUGAAAACUGAUCUUUGCACUCUAUUGGCCUAAAAUGCAACACAUGAUUGAACUCUAGGUAAUGUCUGAUUUGAUUCUGUAGGGCGAUGGGGCCCUUCAUCAUCAUGCUGGGGAAGAUUGCAGGAGACGUGCUGCGUUUCCUUUUUCUUUAUAUUAGAGAUCUUCGUUCCAUAUGCCUGUGCUUUCUGGAUCAUAUUCGGAGGUUUAGCUGAGGUGCCAAGUAUGGAGACGGUUCCUGAGCUGCUGUACAGCCUGCACCGUAUCACCCUGGUGGACGAGUAUGAGUCUGAUGCCAUGCUGGAUGUGACACCUGCUCUGUGGAACAUUUCUGGCCCUCUCUGCUAUUGUCAGUUUACUGAUUGCUCUGCUUUCUGACACCUUCCAAAGUGCACUGGCCAAAGCGGUGAUGCAACAAGCUGCUAUCAUUCUGCAAAUAGAGGAAUCCACGUUGCUAUGACGACGAGUACAUCCACCAGCAUCGUGCCCCGCUUGGAGAAUCCUAUGACGAUAAUGUCACCACUAACCCGGGGCAACAUGCGGAGAUGAAGAAGCUCACAGAACAGAUCAAGGAUACUUUAGAUAAAUAUCUGAACAUCCAAAAAGAGACACUCUCACCUCAGCUAGCCUAUGCAGGUGCCAGAGAAGAUACCAGAAGGAGAAGCGCUGCACUUCCAGAGAAAGAAGAACAUCUCAAGACUCUUCACAGGCUUGAGAAAGACCAGCAGAAGCACAGUCAGGACUUGAGUGAGCUGAGGGCUGACGUGAAGAAACUCCACAGUUUGCUGCUGUUUGCAAAUACAGCCCAAGACAUGUAGAGACCUCUGCACUUAUAAUGAACGUCUGUGAAAACGUGUGUUCAUUGUACAUUCGUUUCAGUUCAAUUUUUGUUCGUUUUUAUUGACACAAAUGACUGUCUAUGGUGUUUCUGCAGCUACUGAUGAUGACAAGAAACCCUCAGUGACAAAGCAACCUACAGCGGACAGUUAAAAACUCCGAAACUAACGAAUGAACUACAGAACUAAACAUUUAAUCCACAAGGAGCAAGACUUGGAUAGGACUUCAUCAUUUUGCAACCUACAGCAUUGUACUAAGUUACUGUAACACUAUUUGCAUCUUUGUACCUAUAUUAGAGUGGUUUUAUUUUAAUUAUCAAUAUUUUAAUUAUAAGAUGUGAAACAAGAUCUUUAAGUCUCUUUUAUUUACUCAUUUAUAAUCAGAAAUGUUUCUUGAGCAG
rnacentral:lncRNA from 1 species